UACCUCCAUCGAGUGCUAUAGCUGAUAC
rnacentral:sRNA from 1 species